rnacentral:rRNA from 1 species
UAUCCUACGGGGCGCAGCAGUGGGGGAUAUUGCACAAUGGGGGGAACCCUGAUGCAGCGACGCCGCGUGGGUGAAGGAGCGUUUCGGCGCGUAAAGCCCUAUCGGCAGGGAAGAAGAUGACGGUACCUGCAAAGGAAGCACCGGCUAACUCCGUGCCAGCAGCCGCGGUAAUACGGAGGGGGCGAGCGGUAAUCGGAAUUACUGGGCGUAAAGCGCUCGUAGGCGGGAUGUCAAGUCAAGGGUGAAAUUCUCGCGCUCAACGGGGG